UAACGUCAGUGGCAGACGGGUGAGUAACACGUGGGAACCUUCCUCGUAGUACGGAACAACUCAGGGAAACUUGAGCUAAUACCGUAUAAGUCCGAGAGGAGAAAGAUUUAUCGCUAUGAGACGGGCCCGCGUCCGAUUAGCUAGUUGGUGGGGUAACGGCCUACCAAGGCAACGAUCGGUAGCUGAUCUGAGAGGAUGAUCAGCCACACUGGGACUGAGACACGGCCCAG
rnacentral:rRNA from 1 species